rnacentral:rRNA from 1 species
UACAGAGGGUGCGAGCGUUGUCCGGAAUCACUGGGCGUAAAGGGCGCGUAGGUGGCGACCCAAGUCGAUGGUGAAAGCUCGCCGCUCAACGGCGAGUCGGCCACCGAUACUGGGUUGCUGGAGCACUGUAGAGGCAGAUGGAAUUCCGGGUGUAGCGGUGGAAUGCGUAGAGAUCCGGAAGAACACCGGUGGCGAAGGCGGCGAUCUGGGUCGAUACUGACGCUGAGGUGCGAAAGCGUGGGGAGCAAACAGG